GAUGAACGCUGGCGGCGUGCCUAAUACAUGCAAGUCGAGCGAACAGACGAGGAGCUUGCUCCUCUGACGUUAGCGGCGGACGGGUGAGUAACACGUGGAUAACCUACCUAUAAGACUGGGAUAACUUCGGGAAACCGGAGCUAAUACCGGAUAAUAUAUUGAACCGCAUGGUUCAAUAGUGAAAGACGGUUUUGCUGUCACUUAUAGAUGGAUCCGCGCCGCAUUAGCUAGUUGGUAAGGUAACGGCUUACCAAGGCAACGAUGCGUAGCCGACCUGAGAGGGUGAUCGGCCACACUGGAACUGAGACACGGUCCAGACUCCUACGGGAGGCAGCAGUAGGGAAUCUUCCGCAAAGGGCGAAAGCCUGACCGAGCAACGCCGCGUGAGUGAUGAAGGUCUUCGGAUCGUAAAACUCUGUUAUUAGGGAAGAACAAAUGUGUAAGUAACUAUGCACGUCUUGACGGUACCUAAUCAGAAAGCCACGGCUAACUACGUG
rnacentral:rRNA from 1 species